UGUAUGUUGCCAGGAAUCCAAAGGAUAUCCUCGUAUCUGCAUUACAUUUUAGAAAUCAUUUCCCAAUUUUUCCAUCAUAUUCAACUUUUGAGCAUUUCUUUGAGGACUUCCUGCAGGGAAAUGUACCAUUUGGAUCCUGGUUUGACCACAUCAAAGGAUGGCUACCCAUGAGACAUUCAGAGAAUUUCUUGCUCCUAACCUAUGAGGAACUUCAUCAGAAUCUUAAGGUCACUGUGGAAAAAGUUUGCCAAUUCUUGGGCAAGGAGCUGAGUGAGGAAGAAAUCAAUUCAGUCAUGGAGAAUGCUUCCUUCCAAGUCAUGAAAAACCACAUUCUAGAAAACAAAGAACUUGUACCAGCAGAAGAUAUGAAAUCUUUAAAAAUUGUUUUGAUGAGAAAAGGUGAGAAGCAAUGGUCUAGGACCACAAGGAAGUUAAAUAGGUGGUUUAUCGUCCUCCAAUCA